rnacentral:rRNA from 1 species
AUGAACGCUGGCGGCGUGCCUAAUACAUGCAAGUCGAGCGAACAGACGAGGAGCUUGCUCCUCUGACGUUAGCGGCGGACGGGUGAGUAACACGUGGAUAACCUACCUAUAAGACUGGGAUAACUUCGGGAAACCGGAGCUAAUACCGGAUAACAUGUUGAACCGCAUGGUUCAACAGUGAAAGACGGUCUUUCUGUCACUUAUAGAUGGAUUCGCGCCGCAUUAGCUAGUUGGUAAGGUAACGGCUUACCAAGGCAACGAUGCGUAGCCGAGCUGAGAGGGUGAUCGGCCACACUGGAACUGAGACACGGUCCAGACUCCUACGGGAGGCAGCAGUAGGGAAUCUUCCGCAAUGGGCGAAAGCAUGACGGAGCAACGCCGCGUGAGUGAAGAAGGUCUUCGGAUCGUAAAACUCUGUUAUUAGGGAAGAACAAAUGUGUAAGUAACUAUGCACGUCUUGACGGUACCUAAACAGAAAGCCACGGUUAACUACGUG